UACUGGUGACGACCCAUGCAUGAACGGAGGUACCUGUGAGAACAGUGCAUGUACAUGUGCUGCUCAUUUUACUGGAUCGUUGUGUGACAAAGUUAACUGUACUGGUGACGACCCAUGCAUGAACGGAGGUACCUGUGAGAACAGGACAUGUACAUGUGCUCCGAAAUUUACUGGACCUUUGUGUGCCGAAGUUAACUGUACUGGUGACGACCCAUGCAUGAACGGAGGUACCUGCGAGAACAGGACAUGUAUAUGUGCUACGGGAUUUACUGGA